rnacentral:rRNA from 1 species
UACGUAGGGUGCGAGCGUUAAUCGGAAUUACUGGGCGUAAAGCGUGCGCAGGCGGUUCGCUGUGUCCGAUGUGAAAGCCCCGGGCUUAACCUGGGAAUGGCAUUGGAAACUGGCGAGCUGGAGUGUGGCAGAGGGGGGUGGAAUUCCGCGUGUAGCAGUGAAAUGCGCAGAUAUCAGGAGGAACACCAGUGGCGAAGGCGGGCUCUGG